rnacentral:rRNA from 1 species
GGUGAACGCUGGCGGCGUGCCUAAUACAUGCAGGUCGAGCGAACGGACGAGAAGCUUGCUUCUCUGAUGUUAGCGGCGGACGGGUGAGUAACACGUGGAUAACCUACCUAUAAGACUGGGAUAACUUCGGGAAACCGUAGCUAAUACCGGAUAAUAUUUUGAACCGCAUGGUUCAAAAGUGAAAGACGGUCUUGCUGUCACUUAUAGAUGGAUCCGCGCUGCAUUAGCUAGUUGGUAAGGUAACGGCUUACCAAGGCAACGAUGCAUAGCCGACCUGAGAGGGUGAUCGGCCACACUGGAACUGAGACACGGUCCAGACUCCUACGGGAGGCAGCAGUAGGGAAUCUUCCGCAAUGGGCGAAAGCCUGACGGAGCAACGCCGCGUGAGUGAUGAAGGUCUUCGGAUCGUAAAACUCUGUUAUUAGGGAAGAACAUAUGUGUAAGUAACUGUGCACAUCUUGACGGUACCUAAUCAGAAAGCCACGGCUAACUACGUG